rnacentral:lncRNA from 1 species
AAAAAUUUGUAAGGACUGAGAUUUUUGACAGUGCAACUAAACUCUCUGUUGACGAUGUUUAUGUGUGUAAUAUAAUUACAUAAGCACUCGUCAAGUUUCAGGAGAAAAUGAGCUUAAACGGAGAAGUUACACGAUUAUUAGUUUUCACUUAAGUGAAUAGUAACUCCGAUUUUCCGGAGAAGCCACGGAGUAGAGUUGGCUUCUGGUGCGUAUCGGACUCCGUUCAUAUCAGUCCAAUAGCUCGUUUCGACCGGUUCAGCUGUUCUGGAACUAGUGGCGCUGAUGGAUUUUGAGUUUGACGCACGGAUUUCGAGAAAAUCCAAAAAUACAUGCUUUAUAUGUAUUUGUGU